AACAAAUAUGUGGGUAAAUCUCUGUUUGGGGCUCUCAGCUCUGAAGGCUGUGAGACCCCUGAUUUCCCACUUCACACCUCUAUAUAGGGUCUCCCAACCGAGCUGGUCUCAGCAAGUAGCAUCCAUCGUAGGGGCUCGAAUCCAGGUCAAAGGGUCGCCGGAGCAACAGUUGGAACGGAAAACUAGCUGGAGGACACCCGAGUACUCUUAAAGCAAUCUCCGUGGCCAAAAUCAACAGCCUAUUUCGAUACCAUCAAGACACCUGAAACCUUAUCAUGAGCCAGAUGCCGAGGAAGAGACUCCGGGAGGAUCCUGAGGACCCCUUGGUUGCAGCCAUGUCAAGACUGAUGCUGAGGAGGACCCCAACUGUCACAAGCAACACCCAUCGAACACAGCCACCCACCUGAGGACAGAUCAAGAAGCUGUCACAGAUGGUGGAAGAAAACCUGAGGAAAGCAGGACAACCAGUCACAGUGAAUAACUUAAUGGUAUCUAUGAUAGCGGUUAUCACCACUGCCGUGAGUAUUCCUUCAAUAAGGGCUGGUAAUAAUGCCUGGAUGCAAUCACUCUAUGACACAGUUACACAUGCUUUCUGAUCUCCGUAUUUACCAUAAUAAAUCUGCUCCUAUAAUUGAGGCAUACCACCCUCAAAAACCUAUUUGUAAACAGGAUUGGACCUGGUUAGAAAAAAUGAACAUGCUUGCUUGGGAAGAUUGCUUUGCAGAACAGACAGAGGUGCUGCACAACAAUUCCAAUGGAAUCAUUAUUAAUUGGUCCCCUAAGGGGAUGUUUAGCUUGAAUUGCACCUCUCAGUCUGCGUGCCACAUCUGAACAAAACGGACAGAUGGUAGAUAUAAUAAGUACGGCAAAAGUUCCUAUUAUCUGGAACCAUGUCAGUAUAGUGUCACCUCAACCUCAAAUGAUAUGACCUGCUCUAGGAGCUUAACAUAAGGAUUUGUGGAAACUAUUAAAUGCUCUUAAUAAGAUCAAAA